UCUUUAUGUAGUUCACUAGAACAUGAUUCACUCUAUACAUGCUGAAACAGGGGCUUGCAUUGAGCAACCUUGAUAUUUAUCUCCAUCUUCUGAACUUUACUUGUACAUUUUAAUUCUGCAACUUAAUUGUGCUAUUUUUGUUAGAGGGAUUGUCUAAGAGAACAGGAGUGUUGGACAUCGUGAUGCUUUACUUCUUUUCUGUACACUUUGUAAGGUUUGUGUUUCUAUCAUCUUAUUAUUUUGUAGUUCAGAGUUGUCUGUACCACCAGAUUGACCAAAUUAUAAAAGGUGUUUGCAGAUGGGUAUGAGGGAGGAUAAUGAUGAAGUUACAAGCAAAACUCGCAUUCUAUCUUUGGAGCUUCUGCAGGUCAGUUCGGCUAAUCUUUCUGUACAUUGAUUAUUGCAUGCUUGUUCUGGUGGUUUGGAGAAAAGGAAAGGUCUUCUUGUUUUCACUCCAUCUCAAUGGUUGAGAAUUUUCAAUGAUGCUAACUCUUUGAAAUAAUGUCGUCUUUUACUCAUGUAUUCUUGUAGUUUUUUAACUCUGAAACUUUUGCUCUUAUUUAGAAUCUAUUAGUGUAGGGCAGGCGUGGGCUAAGGAUGUGGACUAAUUGGAGUUUAUCUAUCUAUUUAUUUGAUUUAUUUAAUAGAGUUGGUUAUUUAGUUGGACUGGGGUAUCUAUGAAGCCCUAUGUUGGAAUUUACGGUACUUCAGUAGGAAGAUAGGAGUUUAGUAGUCAGCUUUUGAGUCAGCAGUUGUCCGAGACAUGUUCACCUGUUGGUCUGUUUACUUUCUGUUAUGUUCUUUAGUAACACUGUUUUUAUGUUUUGGUGCAAUCAUUUGCCUUGAUUGCCCCUUAACUCUACCCUCCAUAGAUUUAGAUAGUGCGAGUACUGCUUUACUCGGGGUUAGCGUUCAGUUGCUUUGUUUAUUAUAACCCAUUUUUGGACCAACCUGGGUGAACUGAAUUACAUUGAAAUCCUUUUGAAUCAAACCAGUUUAGUGGAAGAGCAAACUACCAAAUAGAUUCUAAAUAAUCUGAUUCUUGUUAUUAGGUUUCCUUUCUUUUUCCCCACAGGCUAGUUCAAUUGGUCAAUAAUAUUAUCAUAAAUGUUGCUUUGAUCAGUACUCUGCAGGAUGUUUUGUUGUACAUUUAUGUUUUACCCAACUACUUGGGUCUGACAUGAAAAGUAUGGUCUUCAAGUAGGUUUAGGACAUAAAUCAACUGAAUCAUAUAGACUACUUUGUUAGCUGAAUUUAUUGGUUUGUCUGGAGAAACAAUUGUGAAUGCAUUCAAUUCUCCUAUGUCGUUUCUGGACAGGUGCAGUUAUGCCAGACCAUCGUUUCUUCUUACCUGGGAGCAAGCGACCAUUUUCGCAAGUGGUAUAUUACUAUACAGCUUCAGUAUACUUUCCUAUUUGUAAGACACUGUUGUUAAUCAAGAAACUAAGCUUACUGUUCAUUUAUUGUAUUCAAGGCCACAACCCUCUCUCUGUGGAGUACCAAGGGUUGUCACGAGUGCCUGCAGAAAGCUGGUAACUCUUUGAUUCUGCUCCAUUUCCAAGGGUUUGUGGUGGAUUAAAUGAGUCGUACGUUGAGCUGAAGAGGCUUGUGAAUUCACAAGAAAAGUUGUACCAUAUGGCUAGCUAGUUGCAUAUUUAAUAUGUUUAGUAUUUUUGUAAGGCAUAAUAGUAUAGAUAGAGCAGUUGUUGAAUUUUGACUAUAUUCAAAUCUUGUAUGAAUUCUUUUUUAUGAUAAUAAUAUAAAAUUAAAUA